UCCCCGGUGGUCCAGUGGUUAAGGCUCUGCACUCCCACUGCAGAGAAUAGGGGUUCGAUCCCUGGUCGGGGAA
rnacentral:tRNA from 1 species